GGGUUGUGAGGUUAAGCGACUAAGCGUACACGGUGGAUGCCCUGGCAGUCAGAGGCGAUGAAGGACGUGCUAAUCUGCGAAAAGCGUCGGUAAGGUGAUAUGAACCGUUAUAACCGGCGAUGUCCGAAUGGGGAAACCCAGUGCAAUUCGUUGCACUAUCGUUAACUGAAUACAUAGGUUAACGAGGCGAACCGGGGGAACUGAAACAUCUAAGUACCCCGAGGAAAAGAAAUCAACCGAGAUUCCCCCAGUAGCGGCGAGCGAACGGGGAGCAGCCCAGAGUCUGAAUCAGCUUGUGUGUUAGUGGAACGGUCUGGAAAGUCCGACGGUACAGGGUGAUAGUCCCGUACACCAAAAUGCACAGGUUGUGAACUCGAAGAGUAGGGCGGGACACGUGGUAUCCUGUCUGAAUAUGGGGGGACCAUCCUCCAAGGCUAAAUACUCCUGACUGACCGAUAGUGAACCAGUACCGUGAGGGAAAGGCGAAAAGAACCCCGGCGAGGGGAGUGAAAAAGAACCUGAAACCGUGUACGUACAAGCAGUGGGAGCACCUUCGGGUGUGACUGCGUACCUUUUGUAUAAUGGGUCAGCGACUUAUAUUCUGUAGCAAGGUUAACCGUAUAGGGGAGCCGCAGGGAAACCGAGUCUUAACUGGGCGUUAAGUUGCAGGGUAUAGACCCGAAACCCGGUGAUCUAGCCAUGGGCAGGUUGAAGGUUGGGUAACACUAACUGGAGGACCGAACCGACUAAUGUUGAAAAAUUAGCGGAUGACUUGUGGCUGGGGGUGAAAGGCCAAUCAAACCGGGAGAUAGCUGGUUCUCCCCGAAAGCUAUUUAGGUAGCGCCUCGUGAACUCAUCUUCGGGGGUAGAGCACUGUUUCGGCUAGGGGUCAUCCCGACUUACCAACCCGAUGCAAACUACGAAUACCGAAGAAUGUUAUCACGGGAGACACACGGCGGGUGCUAACGUCCGUCGUGAAGAGGGAAACAACCCAGACCGCCAGCUAAGGUCCCAAAGUCAUGGUUAAGUGGGAAACGAUGUGGGAAGGCACAGACAGCCAGGAUGUUGGCUUAGAAGCAGCCAUCAUUUAAAGAAAGCGUAAUAGCUCACUGGUCGAGUCGGCCUGCGCGGAAGAUGUAACGGGGCUAAACCAUGCACCGAAGCUGCGGCAGCGACACUAUGUGUUGUUGGGUAGGGGAGCGUUCUGUAAGCCUGCGAAGGUGUGCUGUGAGGCAUGCUGGAGGUAUCAGAAGUGCGAAUGCUGACAUAAGUAACGAUAAAGCGGGUGAAAAGCCCGCUCGCCGGAAGACCAAGGGUUCCUGUCCAACGUUAAUCGGGGCAGGGUGAGUCGACCCUAAGGCGAGGCCGAAAGGCGUAGUCGAUGGGAAACAGGUUAAUAUUCCUGUACUUGGUGUUACUGCGAAGGGGGGACGGAGAAGGCUAUGUUAGCCGGGCGACGGUUGUCCCGGUUUAAGCAUGUAGGCUGAUUGUCCAGGCAAAUCCGGAUAAUCAAGGCUGAGGUGUGAUGACGAGGCACUACGGUGCUGAAGUAACAAAUGCCCUGCUUCCAGGAAAAGCCUCUAAGCAUCAGGUAACAUCAAAUCGUACCCCAAACCGACACAGGUGGUCAGGUAGAGAAUACCAAGGCGCUUGAGAGAACUCGGGUGAAGGAACUAGGCAAAAUGGUGCCGUAACUUCGGGAGAAGGCACGCUGGUGUGUAGGUGAAGUCCCUGCGGAUGGAGCUGAGACCAGUCGAAGAUACCAGCUGGCUGCAACUGUUUAUUAAAACACAGCACUGUGCAAACACGAAAGUGGACGUAUACGGUGUGACGCCUGCCCGGUGCCGGAAGGUUAAUUGAUGGGGUUAUCCGUAAGGAGAAGCUCUUGAUCGAAGCCCCGGUAAACGGCGGCCGUAACUAUAACGGUCCUAAGGUAGCGAAAUUCCUUGUCGGGUAAGUUCCGACCUGCACGAAUGGCGUAAUGAUGGCCAGGCUGUCUCCACCCGAGACUCAGUGAAAUUGAACUCGCUGUGAAGAUGCAGUGUACCCGCGGCAAGACGGAAAGACCCCGUGAACCUUUACUAUAGCUUGACACUGAACAUUGAGCCUUGAUGUGUAGGAUAGGUGGGAGGCUUUGAAGCGUGGACGCCAGUCUGCGUGGAGCCAACCUUGAAAUACCACCCUUUAAUGUUUGAUGUUCUAACGUUGGCCCCUGACCGGGGUUGCGGACAGUGUCUGGUGGGUAGUUUGACUGGGGCGGUCUCCUCCCAAAGCGUAACGGAGGAGCACGAAGGUUAGCUAAUCCUGGUCGGACAUCAGGAGGUUAGUGCAAUGGCAUAAGCUAGCUUGACUGCGAGCGUGACGGCGCGAGCAGGUGCGAAAGCAGGUCAUAGUGAUCCGGUGGUUCUGAAUGGAAGGGCCAUCGCUCAACGGAUAAAAGGUACUCCGGGGAUAACAGGCUGAUACCGCCCAAGAGUUCAUAUCGACGGCGGUGUUUGGCACCUCGAUGUCGGCUCAUCACAUCCUGGGGCUGAAGUAGGUCCCAAGGGUAUGGCUGUUCGCCAUUUAAAGUGGUACGCGAGCUGGGUUUAGAACGUCGUGAGACAGUUCGGUCCCUAUCUGCCGUGGGCGCUGGAGAAUUGAGGGGGGCUGCUCCUAGUACGAGAGGACCGGAGUGGACGCAUCACUGGUGUUCGGGUUGUCAUGCCAAUGGCACUGCCCGGUAGCUAAAUGCGGAAGAGAUAAGUGCUGAAAGCAUCUAAGCACGAAACUUGCCCCGAGAUGAGUUCUCCCUGAGACUUUAAGUCUCCUGAAGGAACGUUAAAGACGAUGACGUUGAUAGGCCGGGUGUGUAAGCGCAGCGAUGCGUUGAGCUAACCGGUACUAAUGAACCGUGAGGCUUAACCUUACAACGCCGAAG
rnacentral:rRNA from 1 species